rnacentral:misc_RNA from 1 species
UUUCCGUAGGUGAACCUGCGGAAGGAUCAUUCACAAUAAGUGUUUUAUGGCACUUUUUCAAUCCAUAUCCACCUUGUGUGCAAUGUUGUCUUGUAGUGCGAAUGCUUGUCAUUUGCGCUACAGGAUGUAAACACCAACUCUUAUCUUUAACAACUUUGUCUAAAACCUGUAUGAAUACUUAAUUCAAAAUACAACUUUCAACAACGGAUCUCUUGGCUCUC